rnacentral:lncRNA from 1 species
GCCCUGAUGACCAGAUGCAUAAGAUCAGGAGUGCCAAGUGGCAUGGCUUGAGGAGUGAGAUCCUGGAGGUGGGAGAAUUGCCCUCUAAUCAAUACUGCUCUGGGGGUCUUGGGCACAAACUCAUGAGUUCACAGUGAAGGCAGCUGCAUCUUCCCUCCUUCCUCUGAUGAAAGCCUGGCUUUUCCCCAUCCCUUACAACAAGAGCGAUCCAUCAAGUCAUGGACUUCUGUAAGGGAUGCCACGCUUCCUGUUAGCAGAAUGUUGGAGCAGAAACUGGACCAUGGAGAUGAGCUCGUGGCAUGCUGCCAGCACAGUGGGUUGAAGAAUCUUGGAGCUGGAACUCUUUCCCAGAUGUAGAGGUCAUUCCAUGGAUGUGCAGUGAUGAUGAACUAGAGAUGCAGGGAGAAGAAAUAGUGACUACUGAAAGCAGGUCUUCUGUAAAGACAAGUUAUAAAACAGAGUUGCAAUGGUCUGUGUGACUUGAAAUUUCAAACUUCAAUGUUCUUGGCGAAAAUGCUCAAUAAUAAUUCAGAAAACAAUCAAAAGCUGAAGCAAGAAAUAUUUGGAUUUCCAUCAGGUAUCAUCUUCUCAAGCAAAGUCAACACAGGUCUUCUGGGGCCAAGCAUUUCACUAAAGACUGCUGACAACCAGGAGUCAGAGCACACAGUCUGUUAUUAGAUAGAGUUCCCUCUUGCCGGGGACUGCCUCAGAAGAGGCUGGAGUCCAUUCAAGAUCUGCAAAGAAGCACAAUUCCAGGGUAUUCCCUAGCCUUCUCAUCAUUAAGGUACAUGACACUUAGGAUGUCAUAAAUGCAUUCAGUCAGUGCCCUGAUUCUGCUACCCUAUGGAGGAAUCUGCUGUGUGGGCUUCAAAAUGGAAGCAUCAUCAAUCUUUCAUUAAUCCAACACACCUUUAUUAAUCAUUACUGGAUUUUACUGACC